AUACGGAGGGGGCUAGCGUUGUUCGGAAUUACUGGGCGUAAAGCGUACGUAGGCGGACUGAUCAGUUGGGGGUGAAAUCCCAGGGCUUAACCCUGGAACUGCCUUCAAUACUGUCAGUCUUGAGAUUGGAAGAGGUGAGUGGAAUUCCUAGUGUAGAGGUGAAAUUCAUAGAUAUUAGGAGGAACACCAGUGGCGAAGGCGGCUCACUGGUCCAAUACUGACGAUGAGGUACGAAAGCGUGGGGAGCAAACAGGAUUAGAUACCCCAGUAGUCC
rnacentral:rRNA from 1 species